rnacentral:rRNA from 1 species
AUCUACAGCCAUGCCACCCUGAACAAGCCCAAUCCCAUCUGAUCUCAGAAGCUAAGCAGGGUUUGGCCUGGUUAGUACUUGGAUGGGAGACCAGGUGCUGUAGGCG